rnacentral:lncRNA from 1 species
ACCGCCAUCAUUUCCCAUCCUCUUUCUUCUCCUACUCCUCUACUCCUCUACCUGCUGUCCCUUUCCUCUCCCCCUCUUCUCCACCGCCAUCAUUUCGCAUCCUCUUCCUUCUCCUACUCCUCUACUCCUUUACCUGUCGUCGCAGAUUCGGGAAGUGGACGUGCAGGCACCGAUCUCAGAGUGUUUAAGUGAGGCAGACAUCGAGGAGGCUAAGAUUGUGACAACAACGAUGAUGUGCAGGUGGCGGAGGACCGGGGGAAAGAAAAUGGGCGUCAAUGUCGUACUCCUUUUAUUUUCUCCUUUUUCUUUAUUCUUCUUAUUAAAGAAAAAAAUAUAUUUCACUAUUUGACUAUAUAUUAUACAAGUUAAUAAGUGUAUCAGGCUGUACAAUAGUACAAUGUGAUGUCAAAUAGUGCAACAUUUAAAAAAUAUUGCACUGUUUAAUUAUAUAUACUAUUUGAUAAUAAGUUAUAUUAUUUUUUUAAUAUGUUUUACUUGUUAAAUAGAACAACAUAUAAUCAAAUAGCGUAAUAUAUUUUUCUUUAAUGGAGAGAGAACGAACACAAAAAUAGAAGAAGAAUAUUUUUAUUUUUAUUUUACUGUCAUACUCAUUCCUCUCCUUCCUUCCUCUUUCUCUAGAAGGAGGGAUGCGGAAGACGAAGAUGCCGACGACGACAACAUGGAAGGAGAUGAAAGGGAGAAGAGAAAGGGACACGAGAAGGAAAGGAGAGGAAUAGAGAUAUAUUUUUGACCAGUUUUGCAAAAUUCAAUCCUAAUUUCUAAAGUUAAAAAAAGGUUCGAUUUUGUAAAAAUAUAAAAUUAUUAAAUUUUUUUUAAUAAAAAAG